rnacentral:tRNA from 1 species
UGGAGGCGUGGCAGAGUGGUCGAUUGCAGCGGUUUUGAAAACCGCCAGGCCCGCAAGGGUCUCGGGGGUUCGAAUCCCUCCGCCUCCGA